rnacentral:rRNA from 1 species
GAUGAACGCUGGCGGCGUGCCUAAUACAUGCAAGUCGAGCGAACGGACGAGAAGCUUGCUUCUCUGAUGUUAGCGGCGGACGGGUGAGUAACACGUGGAUAACCUACCUAUAAGACUGGGAUAACUUCGGGAAACCGGAGCUAAUACCGGAUAAUAUUUUGAACCGCAUGGGUCAAAAGUGAAAGACGGUCUUGCGGUCACUUAUAGAUGGAUCCGCGCUGCAUUAGCUAGUUGGUAAGGUAACGGCUUACCAAGGCAACGAUGCAUAGCCGACCUGAGAGGGUGAUCGGCCACACUGGAACUGAGACACGUUCCAGACUCCUACGGGAGGCAGCAGUAGGGACUCUUCCGCAAUGGGCGAAAGCCUGACGGAGCAACGCCGCGUGAGUGAUGAAGGUCUUCGGAUCGUAAAACUCUGUUAUUAGGGAAGAACAUAUGUGUAAGUAACUGUGCACAUCUUGACGGUACCUAAUCAGAAAGCCACGGCUAACUACGUG